rnacentral:RNase_P_RNA from 1 species
AGUGGAAAUCAAUCUGUCGCUGUGAUUUUUCUUGUUUACAUAUUUGUAUUUAUUGCUUGUAUUGUGAAUCUAAGAAAAUAGCAGAGGAAAGUCCGGGCUCCAUGAAGGAAGAGUACCUGUUAACAACAGGCGAGCGUAAGCUUAGGGAAAGUGCCACAGAAAAUUACCGCCAAUAAUUAGAGUUAUUUAAGUUUCUUGAAUGAUUUGUUUUUUGGUAAGGGUGAAAAGGUGCGGUAAGAGCGCACCUCUGAUUUUGGCAACAAGGCAGGAAAAGGUAAACCCUACUCGGAGCAAACUCGAACAGAAAAUACCUUCAUUUAAUUUUCGGGUUGAGUGCUUCAGUGCGUUAGUGAUAUCGCAUGUAGAUAAAUGACAGUUAAUACAGAAUCCGGCUUAUAGAUUUCCAAACUUU